ensembl:lncRNA
CUCUGGGGCUGAGACACUGGAGAAGACCACACACCUCUGGGGCUGAGACACUGGAGAAGACCACACACCUCUGGGGCUGAGACACUGGAAGAGAUCACACACCUCUGGGGCUGAGACACUGGAGAAGACAACACACCUCUGGGGCUGAGACACUGGAGAAGACAACACACUUCUGGGGCUGAGACACUGGAGAAGACAAAGUCCUCUGGGGCUGAGACACUGGAGAAGACCACACACCUCUGGGGCUGAGACACUGGAGAAGACCACACACCUCUGGGGCUGAGACACUGGAGGAGACAACACACCUCUGGGGCUGAGACACUGGAGAAGACCACACACCUCUGGGGCUGAGACACUGGAGAAGACAACACACCUCUGGGGCUGAGACACUGGAGAAGACCACACGCCUCUGGGGCUGAGACACUGGAGAAGACCACACACCUCUGGGGCUGAGACACUGGAGGCGAUCACACACCUCUGGGGCUGAGAGCCUGAAGAAGACCACACACCUCUGGGGCUGAGACACCAUAUAUUAUUAGGGUGGGGAGAACAGAAGGAUUUUGUUGGAUCUGAAGACUGUAGUGGAGGAGGUACAGCUAGAGGUGAAGAGAGAGGAGUCGAAGAGGAGCGAGCUACAGCUGCAGUACACUAAGGACAGAUGUGCCUGGGAACUGGAGAGAGCUGAGCUGAAAUGCAGAAUCGCACAGUUGGAGGCUAGAGGAGGUCCUGUCGUUGAGCUGGGGCUGAGAACUCAGAGUCCAGAGCCCAGGGAGAGUCCUCUACAGCGGGGGACAGAGAGCAGCAGAGGAGGCUGCUGGUCGACACCCACACGGCCGCCAUGGACCUGCGCUGUCGGCUGGAGCUCAGCGAGAAGGGCUGGGUCCGAUCUGAACUGAUGGAGAGAUUCAACUCUGAGAGGAAGGAGGGGAGAGCCAGCUGGGAGACAUGCAGAGGAAAAUAGAGGAGAUGUACAAGGAGGUGAAGGUGAGGCAUGAGGUAUCUGGGGAGAUGAGAGAACCUGUAGGAGAGAUUACAGAGGAGGUCACCCUGAAUGUCAGUGUACAUACCACCAGCACAGGAUCCAGCAUGCUUAGCGACAACUCGACUUCCGACCCCCAGAACAGCAGCAGCAGCCAAUCAGAGCCCACCAACCAACGCGGCUCCUACCCCCGUCGUCACCGCAACGACGACUUCGCCGCCCACAGAAACCGGGCGGAUCACCGUGGCGACAGAGGAAACCCCCGUAACUAUGACGACUGUGUCGGUAACCAGGAAGUGGACAUGGCGGAACUGGAGGCCAUCCUGCGAGGGGUUGACAGAGACUCUCCCUCUAAAGGGGGUAUGGUUAAUGUCCGUCGCUCCUCCCACGGUGGAUCUAGUGUAGGAGUGACCCACAACACAGAGAUGAGCUCCGGGACAUGGAGUGACAAGAUGGAGAAUACUACAGCCCUCAAUGUCGCCCUGAAGGAGAUAGCCCGUGUGAGUGAAGAGCUGUGUAGCUACCAGGAUGAGAUCAGCAGGAAGUCCGG